AAAAGUUUUUGUCCGUGACCAUAUGGAUCAGCACAGCAACAUCCAAUCCAAAUAAAUCAGAACUAAGAGACUUCUCAGUCAUGUUGCCUAACAAUUCUUACACUACCGUUCAGAUUUUCCAGCCUCUGCAAGUGUUUUGGGAGUGUGACCUCAGAAGGAACACUGAUGACAGACACUUUAUUUUCUUUUUAUCUUGAAUUUCCAAGCAGCUAGCUAUUUCAGCUAACCUUUGCCAAAAUCUAUUAAAUAGACCAGACCAGAAAUAGACCAGAAAGCACCAUUUUGGUUUAGUUUAAAGAAGAAUAAAUCUGAAAAUUGGUUGGUGAGAUUACAGAAAAUACAGCACACCUAGAUGUCAUUUAUAUAUAAUUCAGCAUGCUGUAUGUACUGUAUGGCUCUAAAGGGGGAAAUCUGUGCUUGUUUGAGUAGGCAUACAAAUCCAAUGCAGUAAAUCACAGUGCGGGUUCACGACAGCAGCUUGCUGAGAGCUGUAUAUAAGUCAUUACACAAUAAGCGCACAGUACAUGACAACUGCUUUGCCUUGGGGAGUUAUGAUAAGGAGUCUUAGCGAUGAGCCUAAACCAUCUAUCCUGUUCAAUGCAUGAGUGGCAUUCCUGAGCAGUGUGUGUGGUGAGAUGUAAAAGCACACUGAUGUUUUGAAAGGGUUUCAUCAACAUGUGAAGCAGGAAUACACACAAUGUGUCCAUUCUAAAUCAACUAUUAGAAUGUGAUUAGCAUGUUCAAUCAGGUACAGUCAUGAAAAGAGGUCAAUUCUAGACCUUAAAGACAUCAGCUGAGGUCAAAAGUUUAGCCUCAAGAGUGAAUGCAGAGGUCAGAGUAUAGGGAAGGCCUAUACGUCUGCGCACCAUUACUCAUGAUCCUGACAGCUUGUCAGUGAACCAGCGUUUCUGGUUAGAGCAGCGUCUUAGAGGUUCAGUUAACACCUCUAUGGGGAUGGCGAAGGUGAAGCAGCGGUGCAUAAAUUAACCAACCCCACGACACCGCAUAAAAGGGGCUUAUGUAAAAAUGGCUGACACACAUAAUUUUUUUCACAAUCCAGAAAGGACAGAUGACAGAUGUAAGUGAUGACAAUGAGAUUUGCAGCUUAGUUUAAGUUAGAAAAAAAUAAUGUUAACUGAAGCACAGUUUUUUUCAGAUUGCAUCCAUGAACAAGAACGAUUGCCUGCCAACACACACACACACACACACACACACACACACACACACACACACACACACACACAGGAUCAAUGCCUUGGUAAUUUGUUUCGAUCAAUUAAGGAGACAUCUGCUAGCAUUUAACCACAAUAACAGCCAAUCCCUUCUAUAUGAGGGAGCGAGAGACUGAGAGAGAGACAUACAGAUAAUUACAUAGAAUCAAAGCUUAGUGGACCAUCACAGAUGGACUUAUUAUUACUGACUAUAAUUUUUUUUCUUUUAGCUCUGCUGAGGGCAUUUUGCUGAGUGAGACAGCCAGAGCUUAUUGACACCAUAACUUUUUACUAGUUUUCUUCGACUGGUGUUUCACCUUUUAUAGUUCAUUCGUCUGUCUACAGCUAGCAGGAAGUGCUUCCCAUUUAACCAGUAUGCACAGACCUUCCACACCACUGAAUGGACAUGUUUCCUCAACAUUAACACUGUAGAUUAAUUAACAUUCACUAAAGAUGUAAACCUGGAGGAAGUCAUUAAAAGAUCAAGGGCACUAGAGUGUAGGGUUCUAGGGUUCGCCAUCCUCAUUUGGUUGGCAAGCAAGAGACCAGCCUGUAACAGCGAAUUGCAACUUAUUACUUAUUAAUACUCAACCGCAAAGAAGUGGCACAAUGCUUUGUUAUUACAAAUUAUUAAUACUGCUAUUAAUGUGUUAUUACAUAAUUCUAGAAAGAUUCAUGGGAGAGAAACAUCCCAAUGCAUUCUGUAUUGUCAAUCAUAAGCAUAUGCAGGGAAAGCAUCUGUCUUUUAAAUGACUCCAUAUUCAUCUCUUUCCAUCAUGCAUGCACACAUCAUAAUAUUACUGCAAAGAUUAAGUUGGGGACAGGAAAAUAUAAACAUCAUGACUAUAGAAAAGGAUAGCAAAUAGCAAUUAUGUUUGGGCACAUCUUGCUGACAUGUUCAGAAUGCCUGUGGGGAUAGAAUUUUUUUUUAUGUAUAAAAUAAAAUAUCUAAUAUAACUUGUAGAAAACAUUGAUAGAAGAUUGUAGUUGUGAGAGUCUAUACACAAUCUGGUUCAUGUGUCUAUUUGAAGGCCUGUACAGGUGAAACACUGUAUUUCCUAUCUCACUUACUCACUCACUCAUUCACACACUCACACACUUAUUUGAACACUUUAGUAGUGCAUACUCAAGUACAUUCCAGCACUGAACUGCAGGGUUUACAUCUUAAUUUAUUUCACUGGUCGAACAAUAGAGGACUUUACUGAUACUGAUAACUAAGUUGGGCAAUACCUGCUGAUAAUGGAUUAAUCAACUGAUAAAAAUAUAACACUCAAAGUAAAAUAUUGCUGAACUUUAUUACAAAAAUAAACAGUACUGAAUGCACCAUGAAAAUGGACUGUACCUUUUGAAAUGAAAUAAAUAUAUAAAUACUAACGCAUGGUGGCUUAGUAGAUAGCACGUUCACCGCCAGGGUCGGGGUUCGAUUCCCGUGGCUCUGUGGGUGCGGAGUUUGCACGUUCUUCCCGUGCUGCAGGGGUUUCUUCCGGGUACUCCGGUUUCCUCCCUCAGUCCAAAGACAUGCAUGGUAGGUUGAUUGGUAUGUCUAAAGUGUCCGUAGAGUAUGAAUGGGUAUGUGAGUGUGUAUGUGAUUGUGUGCCCUGCGAUGGAUUGGCACCCUGUCCAGGGUGUACCCUGCUUUGUGCCUGAUGCUCCCUGGGAUAGGCUCCAGGUUCCCCGUUACCUUGAAAAGGAUAAGAGGUAUAGAAGAUGGAUGGAUAAAAAAUAUACACCAAAUUUUUACCAAAAAGUAACACUCCAAAUAGCAAAUAAAAUAGAGACAUUCAAAAUGAAUAAUAAUAAAAAAAAAACACUUCAAAUAACACAACAAAAUUUGUCAGUGAUAGUUUUUAUUUCGCCUGUAGAGGCCACUCUCAUACUGUAUAAUGACAGCCUCUCCAGCAAAGGAUGCAACCUUGAAAAACUUUGGGUGUGGAUUUUCGCAGAUUACCGAUAGUUCCAACAAUUAGUCGACCUCUAACUUAUUUAGCACAUUCUCUUAUCCCAGGUGACUUAACACAAUAUGAGCCAGCAGUGAUACAAGUGCUAUAAAUCUUUCACACCUGACCUGAAACUCUAAACCUUAGGUCUGGGCUCAACUGGGAUCACUGCAGGUUUGUUUUUACAAACCUGAUCAUUUGCCAAUUUUUGUAAGUUGCAAAAUGGAUGCCAAUGAGUGCAUCACAUUUUUUUGUUCCAAUUAAUUUUUAGAAUUUAAUUAAUAUAUGAUAUAUUAUUUCCUUUAAUCUUUUUACUCUUUAGCCAAAGAUUAUUUGAACUGGGAAUUAGCAUACGUUGAAAUAAUCAUGUUAUUCAGUAACCCAUCUCAGGAUGAUACAAACAAGCUGUGGUUCUCUAGAAGCAAGACAACUGAUUUACAAUUGACCACAAAUCAGUUUCCUUGUUGAAAAAGAAAUUUCACCGAGAAUAUACCACUCUUUCAAUACAGCAUUGAAUAAGGAGAAAGUUGCAUCUAAACCUGUACAUUUAUUUACACUUUGCAUUUAUUUAUUAACACUAAAUGAACCCCAGACCACAGUAUUUUAUGUAAAAUGAAAAAUUCUAAAUGCACUUCAACAAAAAAGUGCGAAAAAAAAUCCUCUGGUGCAAACUAAAUGGGUUAGUAUUAAAACACCCCAGAUGUCUGACAAUUGAAGCAAAAAUGAUGUCUCAAAGUUAUAGAAAGAACAGAGACUGAAAGAGAGCGAGAGAGAGAGAAAACAGAGCAUGGAAUACGCUGGAAUAUGUGCUAGUGCCCAAGAGUGCCAGAGAUAAGAUCUAGACAGAAUCUUCCAAAUUGAAGAAGACUAAAUUAUCUGCCAAUAAUAUGAUGUACAUGAUAUUGAAACAUAAUCCAAAGCAGGUUCUUUGGAAUAGGCUGAAUAAAGCCUGAAGUGGUGCUGAGAGCCUUGGUAAAGUUCCAGGAUGAUCAAUGCUGCGAGUAAAACAGUCACACUCAGUGAUCUCCAUGUGAACUGCUUAAGGAAUGAAACAUUAAUGGGGGACUGGGUCCAGAUUCAGAUAUAGAGAGAGCGACAGAAAGACUGAUGUGCAUUAUUUUAUGUGGACACUCAAGAGAGAAGGUGAGCAGAAGGUCAAGGAGAUGAGUCAUAACCACAAAAAGGACACCAACAAGAGAUGAGGAAGAGAGGGGGGGGGAGUGUGUGUAUGUGUAAUGUAUACUCAUUACCUCAGUACAUAUACUUACUGCAGGUCUGUGUAGAAAUGGAACAGAGCACCUCUGAGGUUUAAUAGUAAAGAGAUCAAACACUGUGGCACUGAGGUCAUCAGCAGAAAGGGGAAUAAAAAAUUAAUUAAGGAAUAUCACUUAGAUUUCAAAGAUAUCCAACAUUUCAAAUUUAGAUAUCAAAUUUUUCCAAGAAUUUAAUUGAAUAGUACACACAUUGACUCACACAUACACACACACAGAGAGAGAGAGAGAGAGAGAGAGAGAGAGAGAGGUAACUGAUGCUCUUCACUACUUUUUGAAAGUAUUAAAUCUUACCUAAGCGUCUGACAGAAACUGAUCCAAACACUUUCUAAAGAUAUUGCUUGAUUCAUGGUAUACGUUUAUAAUAAAAUAAAACCAGAUUGUGACAUAUUGUGAAUGUAAAGUUCGGCUUUAUUCUGGCUGUUGCUGUCAUUACAAUCAGCUUGCACUCUAAAUCAUCUCUCAUUUAUGGAUUAUGGGAAAUAAUACAAAAGCUGGUGGGGAAUUUAUUUAUUUAUAUUUUUUUUAAUUCAAGUGUAUCUUUUCCAUGAGUCGCAAAAAUUAUUUAGAAAUGCUAUACAUGCACUUUUGGACCUGGGUUGUCAUAGAUCACAUUUUUUUUCACCCAUUCCUUUGCAAUGCACUUUUUAUUACACCAAUAUUAUGCUCAUCCACACUGACAGCUUGUUCCAUAGCAGAGAUGUCCUUGUUGUGUAUAUAUGAGAGAGGGUGGGAGGGAGAGAGAGAGAGAGAGAGAGAGAGAGAGAGAGAGAGAUGUUCUGAUAGGUAUGCAGUAGAUGCAAAAGUGUAGUUUUUUUUUCCUGUUUGAGUUCCUCCUUUUCUGCUUUUUUCUCCAUGUUGGUGCUGCUCAUUGAACUGCACUUGUGUGUGUGUGUGUGUGCGUGUGUGUGUGUGUGUGUGUGUGUGUGUGUGUGUGUGUGUGUGUGUGUGUGUGUGUGUGUGUAUGUGUGUGUGUGUGUUAUGGACCAGUCAAUGAUAUAUACAAUACAUAGUUUGGUAUUUAAUAUUUUAUCCCACCUCAUUAAAGAGUUUACCAUAUGACGCUGCAGUAACAAAUAGAAUUAAAGUGAAUACAAUGAAAUAAAAAAAGUCACAGUGCAGUAGAGGAGCUCCCCAGGAAUCUCAUUUCAGACUGUACAAGACAAACAAUGCAACCUCUAGUAAAUCACUAUUAAGCAAGAUUACAAAGAGACACAGUACAAAUUUUAAAUCUUCACCAGUUUAAGAGUGUUGUCUCUGAAUAUUUUACUAAGACAGAGAGAGAGAAAAAGAGAGACAGAGUGAGAGCAUGGUGAUCACAAACACAGUAGAGAGAAAAAUGCUUGUGAUUUAUUUAAAUAUUGUUACAAUGUGAUUUAAAAGAUUUAAUGAAAAACUUUGAUUUGGGAAAUUAAACAAGUGAAAUUAAAGAUCAAGAAUUUGAGAUGCCAAUAAUCACUAUAUAACCUUUACAGUUUAAAAUUAUGAUAAUUAGGUAGGAUAAGCUUGUGUAACAUCACAAAAUAUAACAAGCAAAAGAGCACAGGCAACACAAAAUAUACUGACUAUUUUUAAAGUACCCCUUCCCUUUUUUUUCCCCCUGUCACACUGGACAUUCUGGGCCUCUUUACUUUCUGUAGAGGAGAACACAUGGAUGAGCGUUAGGACUAUUGUUACUGUCGCACUUUGCCUGGAUCAGCCAAUCAGGGGCUGAAAGAGUGCUGAGUAAGGGCUGAACGCUCACGUCCAAAUGCAGGGGUGAGCGGAAAGGAGCUGCAAAUGCACUGCAGCAUGGUUAACACCUCUCAACAAAACCACACAACUCCAGUCCCAGGCUUGAGUGCAUGUGAUUUGCCUAAUCAGGGCCCUUAAAAUGUCUAAUGACUUCUUUUUUGCUCUGUAGGAAUCUAAACUAGAAAUAAACAAUAAAAUAAAAACAAUAAUAAAUAAAUAAGAGCCUAGUUAAUCAUAGGCAUACACUAAAGUUUACAAGCAGGUCAGAAGUCAGUGUAAUAAAUAGCAGGUAUUGAAUGAGGACGAUUAGCAAGCUGGCUGAUUGUAACAAAUACCAUGGCUAUAUGCAGUUACUACACAAUAACUGGAAUCCUGACAUGGACUAUGGCAUUAUAUAUCAUUCUGUUAACACCUUUAAUGUUUGGUAAUAAACUACAUAAAAGCAAGUAAAACAUAGUUUAUAAUGAUGGAUUACUGAUUCAUUACUUAACAAUUAAUUAAUAAUUAAGCAUCAAUAAUUAUUCAAUAAUUAUUGUAAGUUUAAAAUAGAUUUUAUAUAAUGUAGUUAUAUUUCAGUAUAAGUUUUAUUUUACAUUUGCUCAUUUAUUGGUAAAUUUAAUUCUUAGACUCAACCUAGUCACUGACCUGCACAGUUGCAUGCUUCCUCUGCUCCUAACACUCCUCAACUUCCUAAUAAUGAGCUGAAGAGCCCUUUAUGAGUUAUGAGGAUCAGGUGUGUCAGGAGCAGAGGAAAACCUUAUUCUUUGCAAGGAAGUGUGUCCCUGGAAGUCCCUGCCAACAUUUCAAAUAUUUUUUUUGAAAGACUUAAUUCACAUAUUUACUAACGUUUGCUUAUAUAUUGUAUUAAGAACAUAGGUGUGAGAUAAAUUAGUUAACCACAUAUUACUCAACUGUAAAUAAUUAAUUACCAUAAUUCUAUUAGCUCCAACAGUGAACAUAUGACAGGAAAAACUACUGUGGUUGAUCAAAUUCAAUGUAAUUGAAUUUAUUUCAAAUAAACUUGAAAUGAUGACCACUAGCUUAUUGUUUGAAAGGUAAAGUGAAACUGCCAACAGUGUUGUGGAUGGUGUGGACCAACAACAUCCAACCAAUCAGGAUAAAGUAUAUAAAGUGUCUUUAUAUACUUGUCAAUCAUAUUAUAAAUUAAUUAAAAAAUGCUCAAUCUCAGACACCCUGUGUGGUUGUUUGGCUGUUUGUGCUGUAAUUCUAUACCUAGAGCUCCUCCUGGGUUUGCAUAAAUGUAUUUUUACUGAAUUUGCAGUAUUAGGACUGGAAGCUUCACUAUGUUUCUAUAUUUUACCAGAACUCAUGCUCAAGCCCAUACCGCUUGAUUUAUUAAAUAUGCAUUCACAGGAAUUAUUCUGUGUUUCUUCAUUUCUUUUAUCAUUAUCUUAAAAAUGAAUGAAUCAAUCUAUACUCCCUGGAAUAAAUGCUUGCUUUAUGUGUCUACUGCUCUGAAAUUAUGUUAAAUCUCUGUCAGUGCUUGGUGUGAGGGUCAGAUCUGUAGCACUGUCAUGGCAAAGAAGGCAUGGUGAUAGGAGCGAGAGGCUAAAAGCAGUGACAGGAUGAAACUGAUAGCUGAACAGGUGUCGCUCUUUGACCAUUCCCCUGAGCACACAUGUGUUUGUGAGUGUGUGUGUGUGUGUGUGUGUGUGUGUGUGUGUGUGUGUGUGUGUGUGUGUGUGUGUGUGUGUGUGUGUGUGUGUUGGGAGUUGUGGGCAUGUCAGUCACACCACAAACUGACAUGCACUAAGAAAUAUCCAGAUAAGGAGAGAGAGAGAGAGAGAGAGAGAGAGAGAGAGAGAGAGAGAGAGAGAGAGAUGACAGGAGAGAAGGAGGGAAGGAGGGACUACAGGACCAAAGAUGAAUAACAAUCAUUAAGGAGAAAAAUGGAGGACACAAAAAAAGUUGUGUGGUGAAAAUUAAGGGAAAAGUGACAUAAUAAAUGCAGAUAGAAGAACAAUGCCUUCCCUGACUUUGAAAGCAAAAUGAUGGCCUUGAAUAGUUCAGAGCUUGGAUUAUGUCAAACUCCAUAGUUAUUCACAGGAAACCAUUCUCAGCUGUCCAGCCCCAUAUAUCACCUGAACAUUGCAAGCCUAGUUCCCGCAUUCUUGUGUACACUCACACACGCCUCAGCUGUCCUAAAACGUGACUGAAGAGAUAAGGAAUGGAAUGUGACAGGGACACACAUCCUCAGAAUAGACCAGGGUAUGCCAUCUCUCCUGAUGAUACAAAACAUGCACCCACAUUACACAUUGAAACAUUCACACCCGCUCUCAAAUCUUCUACUAUCACUAAAAUGACAAACUUUGUACUCAUACCUAGAAGAAAGCACUCACAAUGCUUAUACACAUAACUACCCCGUCCUCCUGUAAGUUGAAUUGCUUCUGCACUUUAGUGUUUCAGCCUUAAAUCUCUGUUCUAAAACAUUAUUUUUAAAAUUAUUUGUAAAUGUACAUAUUAUUUAUUAAUUCCAAACCAACCAAAUGCUAUCAUUCCUGCUCCAUUGCAUGCACCAAGACACGAAAAGCCAGGGCUGUGAUUUCAGAGAGGCCUCUAGGGUAUAGCUUUGGUGUGGCUAUUUGUCCAUAGAGGAGACUUUGGGGAAUGAGAGGCCGUGCUGGAACAGAGUGUGAUUCACUGAUCUGUUAUUCAGUUCCCUGCAGUGAGUGCUCUUCCCCUUGUAACAUACCCUCUCAGCACAUUGCGGCCUUACACUGGUUAGCUGAUCACUAAUUAACAAAUGGUUUGUCACCACAUUCAUUGAAAUGAUGCAUAUACAGACCAGGUAGAAAAAGAAAAUCAAUAUAUUUAAACUAUACUAUUUUUAACACAAACAACAGUGCUACACCUGGAGUAGAGGGAGGAGAAAAAUAUAAACAGGAAAAAAUACAGUAGCUUUCUUGUAACUCCACCUUCCUCUUCCUCAUAUCCUAUUUUAUCCAAUACACCCACAGUAAAUCCCCAACAUCCAUCUACUACUGUCUCUCUACUGAGAUUUGUAUUAAGCUCCUAAGAAGCAUGAAGGUACACUCUCCUUUUAGGUUCUUUCCACUCUCACGUCUUCCUGCAUAGCACAUCGCAGUGGUGCAGUCAUCACACACACACACAGCAAGGUGUCAGCAUUGUCCGUUGUCGUUCAUUCUGUUCUGUCUCCAUCACAGGGUUUAUUUUUAAAAGGACGGGAGGAGGUCAACAACAAAGUCACAGCCACUCAAGUAUUUUAAGAGCCGACUAAGAUGUAGUGUGUGUGUGUGUGUGAGAGAGAGAGAGAGAGAGAGAGAGAGAGAGAGAGAGAGAGAGAGGUGAAAGUACUAGUAGUUGCAUUAUGGCUGUGCUCUGUUCUAUUUAUUAGACCCUCCCCCAUCCAUACUAUUAAGCCCAGCCCACAUACCAAAUGCAGACACCCAGUGCAGCUUAAAAUGCAGCCUCUUUCUCUCAUCUUUUUCACACAUGCACACACACACAGACACACACACACACACGCACACACACUGUGAUCAACUUUGCUAAUGGCAAAAUGAUUAGCUUAUGCUAACUUAAAAGUGAGACCCUCAAGGGCAAAUCUAACAUGUUGAGCUAAAUAAAAUGGAUUGUUAGAAGCUUGCUUAUGAAAAUAAAGGAUUGCAGGCCGAAGCACAAAUCUGAGAGAGAAAAUGAGAGAGCGAAGACCAUGGGACUAUAGGUUGGUGUCUGUUAAUUCUGCCCGCACUUUAUUAGUGGUAUUGACAAGUCUGUGAUAAAUUCAUUGUUUUCUCAAGUUUGUCUGAAGCCGUUGUUUCUAGAUCCUUUUACUUAAAGACUUUGCUCAGAUGCUUUCAAUUUACAGGAUGCGCUCAAUCUCCAUGGGCUUCCGCAAACACACACACACACACAUAUUGAAACAUUACACAUGCACCAGCUUUAUGCAAUUGUAAUCUUAAUAUAACUACUUUGCACUGAAGAGUUUGGUUUGUUCCUCAUGCUUACCCAGUGAUAUACAGUGGGGGAAAUAAGUAUUGGACGCGUCAACAUUUUUUUCAGUAAAUAUAUUUUCAAUGAGGCCAUUCACAUGAAAUUUUCACCAGACAUCAGUAUUAACUCAAGAAAUCGGGAAAUAUAAAUAAUUUACAAUAUUAAAGUCCAUAAAUAAAGUUGAAUGACAGGAAAAAAGUAUUGAACACUGAAAUUUAUUUAAUACUUAUUGGAGAAACCUUUGUUUAUAAUGACAGCUUCAAGAUGCUUCCUAUAUGAAGAAAUUAAUCGGCCGCAGUAUUUACGUGUGAUUUUCUUCCCAUUCUUCUAAACAUAUUGUCUUUAAAUCUUGUUCCAUUGGAUUUAAGUCAAGUUAUUGACUGGGUCAUUGUACCGCCUUGAUUUUUUUUUCUCUGAAACCAAUUGAGAGUUUCCUUUGCUUUAUGCUUUGGAUCGUUGUCCUGCUUGAAGGUCCACCCACGAUUCAUUUUCAUCAUCCUAGUAGAUGGCAGCAGAUUCUUCUCAAGAAUCUCCUGGUAAAGGGCUCCAUUCAUCAUUCCUUCAAUUAUAUGAAGUCUGUCAGUACCAUGCGAUGAAAAACAGCCCCACACCAUGAUGCUUCCACCUCCAAACUUCACUGUUGCUAUAGUGUUUUUAAGGUGAUGUGCAGGACCAUUUCUUCUCCAAACAUGGUGUGUAGUAUGACAGCCAAAAAGUUACAUUUUGCUCUCGUCUGAGCAGACUACUCUGUCCCAGUAAUUCACAGGCUUGUCCAAAUGAGUUGUAGCAAACCUUAAACGAGCUUCGACAUGCCUUUUCUUUAUCAAUGGAGGCUUGCAGGGUGAGCAUGAGCAGUCGAGUGCAUUGCCUAUUGUUUUCUCUGUGAUGAUGGCAUCCAAAACAAAUGUAGACUGGAUUAGCAUGGUCCUGUGACUGUUCACAAAGCUUUGCAAGAGUAAAGAGCUGAUCUACUGUUCCAUGGCCUGACAGAACCUCUCAUAUCCUAGGUACAACUACUGGGAGGCCAAAGAGGGUGAUUCCCCUAUAAUUAGAAGACACUCCCUGUACCACAAUUCUGACUGUGGAUGUGAGCUCCAGCACUACUGUCCCCCUCAUCACAGAAUGCUUUGCUAAAGCUGGUAAAAUGGAACCAAAUCAACUGUUCUAUGGAUUUGGUCCCCUUCAACCAGCUGUAGCUGUGCAUUGAUCACCCCAGAGUGCAGUAAGAUAGACAAAGAAGAUCUGGGAGCACACAAACACAUACUAACACUCUACAGGAUUCACCUUACAACUAUAUACCAUAUCAGACAGGAUCUGAGCAUCAUAUGGAUUUCCUGAUCCAGCUAGAACACCAACCUGAUGCAUUUCACCCCACACUUUAUGAUCUCUAAUAACAUGAUUAAAUACUGUGAGGUUACUAAAACCCAGGUGAACAUUAGCCAUGUCAUGCUGUUCAACUCUUUAUGACUGAUAAUAUCUGAUUAUGAAUCCAGUCCUGACUGCAGUCAGUGGAAUAGGGGUUUGCUGAGUUUUAUGGCUGCCCAUUGAUUUCUUGUCUUGCUGGUGAAAGAGAGAGAUGUGGAGGGACAGGACAGGAGAGAGGAAUGCACGUCAGGCUGCUGAAUAAGUAAAGCAAUCGUUCCUUUUUUCCUGUUUUUUUUUUUCCCUUCACAUUCGUCGUGAUCCUUAAUGCUUGUUUCUGAUCAAUAAAAGCUCAUCCUGAGGUCCAUAAAUGCUAAAGUGGGUGUUUUUUUUUUAAUGCCAGCUUCUUGGUGGAAGGAGGAAGGUCAAAGUGAAGGGAAAUUGUGAGGAAGAAAAGGAAAAGAAGGGAAGAUGGAUGUUUGUAUGGAGGACAGGAGCUGGCAGAUGACAUGACAGUGCUUUUGAAUAGUGAAAAAGAGAAUGGGUAACAUGAUGCCUCACACUAUCCUAUAUUCUAGCAUAGGCUUGUUACAGGAAUUGAAUAUUAGAUACAUUUCUAGUAUUCAAAUAACUAAUUAAAACAGCACCAACCAAAUAUCAAGCAAAAUUCAACUUCUAAUCCUUAUUAUUAUUGAAGCCUUAAGCAUUUGUAACAGUAAGGAAUUUUAAGUCAUGACAUCCCAAGGCCUCUAUUUUCACACAGCAUAAUUUGCUGGUAUAACAGCAGGACAUAAUAUAUUUAGUUGGGCAGGAACUCUCUCUCUCUCUCUCUCUCUCUCUCUCUCUCUCUCUCUCUCUCUCUCUCUCUCUCUCUCUCUCUUUCAAGUUCUGCCCAGAAAUGAAUAUGGCUAUGCAGACUAUAUUGGGCAGCAUGAACAGUUGAAAUCUGCUGGUGAAGUGGGAUUUUCAAACUUACUUUGGUCCAGAACUGCUGGAAUUUCUGACUUAUAGCUCACAACCCAGUUUUGUGGCUGUACUCUGCUUCUAUCAACCUACAUUAAUGUAAAUAGGGUUCUUCAACCAACUAUUAAAUACUACUGAAUGGAUUAUUUUAAAGUGAUAAAUAAAAACAAACAACUGAGUUGUUGCUACUAAAUGUGAAUCAAACAGGUGUCCCCUUAUUGCACAUGGAACAUCAUAUAAUGAAUAGAUUUAAAAGAAUUACAUAACUAAGAGGUGGGGGAUUAGGGAGGUGAGGGAUUAGUCAAUCUAGAACUUUGUGAAAAGGCAGCUCUGCCUCAGAGGCAGGAGGAAAUUAAUUGGUUCAAACAGCCAGUUGGUGGAGUUUACUUUUCAAAACUUUGCAUUAAUUCCCUAGCUAGUUACAGUACUGCUCUUUGUUAGCUUGGCCUAUGACUUUUGAUUUUGCCUGUAUAAAAGGGGUUCCUAUUUAUAUGAUGUUGGCAAAAAUUAUUUUCCAUUUUCUGUUAGUGGUGUUAAAUUAGAAAACUGUUCAGAAAGCUGAUGUGGCCGCACAAGGGUAUAAACAAAGAGUAUAAACAAAAAGGACUGGAACAAUGACAGAACAUAAAAUAACCAAAAAAAAUAAGGAACACCACACCUCAAUAUGUUGACUAUGCCACCCAGGUAGCAGGCCCCUGGGGUGGCGUAGUCGACAUAGGCUUAAUCUAACAGCCACAGAACUCACAGGUUCGUUACAGUUAGAAAUAGGUAUAAGACAUAAGUAGAGUACAAAACAUUUUUAUUUACAGCAUCACCAGUUCUCGCUACACACAGAAGAAAAUGAAAACAAAAAGGCACAAAAAAACACAUACAACUUACACACGUACCACACCAGACUUGGGUCAGCACUCAUAAUCACCCACGACAAGGGUCACCUGUAAUCUCCUACUCAAAAGCACACCGCAACCACCUCUGAAUAUUCAACUGACACAGCACCCCAAAAUUGAGCACAGCAGUCAGUGAAGGAUACCACCACUAGAGGAGAGGAGAAAGCGCGGAGCUCGCUGACUUCGGCUGGCCAAUUCUGAAAAAAAUAAUAAUAAUACAAACAGUAUAAACCACUAGAACACACAAACAUCCAAGGAAACACACACUCUCCAAAAUGUUCCUCCUAAAAGUAGACCACAUUAUACAAAAAUGCACAUGGUCACAAGAAGACAAACAAAAAACAUAACCAAACAACCAGGCCCGUAAGCCAAAGUAGGCCGAUGUGCUGUGUGGCGGUAAUGGGCCGUAGUUAACACACUCAACAAACAAUUGCACCUAAAUUGCAACGAUAAAGAAAAUAUUCAAAACAAAUUCAAUCACAAAAGAAAAACAAUAAUAAAGAUAACACAAGAAAAAAAGACACCAAAUACAAAUAAAAUCAAAAAUAGCACAAGCUGCGACUGCUAAGCAAACAUGUACAUUUGUACAUUGUACAUGCACACUGCAUCAACACCAUCUGAAAAACAUAACAUGGAAACUACCAUGCAGCGAGCCGAAUUACCAACCCAGCCAAGUGAUAGAGAC
ensembl:lncRNA